ACAAAUUCUAUUUUAGUUUGACUAGUUGAACAAGGCAAAUGACUACAUAGAUCACAGUCUAUAAAAGGGCUGGUGUUGGUUUAGAAAAACAUAAGCUAGAAUGGCAGAUAUUAAACUACAUGGAUUUUGGUAUAGUCCUUUUACUUUAAGGGUAGUAUGGACCCUAAAUCUGAAGGGUAUACCAUAUGAGAACAUAGAGGAAGAUCGUUUCAACAAGAGUCCUCAACUUCUUCAAUAUAACCCAGUUCACAAAAAGACUCCUGUGCUAGUUCAUGAUGGAAAACCUAUAUGUGAGUCCAUGGUCAUUGUUGAAUACAUUGAUGAGAUAUGGCCACAGAGCUCAUUGCUUCCUGUUGAUCCUUAUGACAGAGCUCAAGCUCGAUUUUGGGUUAAAUAUGUUGAUGAAUUGGUAAUUUUUUUAUGAACUUAAUCACCAUAUUUAUUGAGUUUUUCUUUUACUUUUCUAACCUUUACAUGGUGGUGAUGAGUGGACAAUACAUGUUAUGCUUAUUUUAUAGCUAUAAUCUAUAACUAAUUUACUUUAACUUGUCUUAAACAUUACUACCUUCUAUGUUCUAAACUAACAAUAAUAUUUGGAUUGAUAUUAUAAAAGAUUUUAGCUAUUAGGGUACACUUUCGUAGCAAAAGUGGUGAAGAGCGGGAGAAGGCCAGAGAGAAUAUAUGGGAGCGACUCGGAGUUGUUGAGGAUCAGUGUUUGGAUGAUCAGAAGAAAUUCUAUGGGGGAGAUACCAUUAAUAUUGUAGACAUAGCUCUUGGAUCUUUUGUUAAUUUUAUUAAGGUUCAGGAUAGGUUAGAAGUGAAGAUCUUGCAAACUGAGAGGUUUCCCCGCUUGCAUUUAUGGUUUAAUAAUUUCAAGGAUGUUCCGAUCAUCCACGAAAACACCCCUGACCAAGAGAAGUGGGGAGCUUUUCUUAUUGAAAAAAACAAGGCAUCUUCUUGAGAAAAAUGAAUUGAUACACAAAGCAUUUGUAUCUUCAUAGGUCAUCUUAUCAUGUGUAUUGUAUUUCUUUAUGCUAAUAAAGCUACUUUACGUUGUCUUUGUACCUCAAUAAUCAAAGUUUAAAAUAAUUUCACUUCUUUUAGUAUUAUUAAGAAUAAAAUAAAUUUUUCAUGUACAUGUAGCUCAGUCGUAACUGCUAGAGACAUUAUUUGCAGGGGUCGAGGUUCAAACUUCUGAUUCCCCACUUUUCCACCCUUAAAGUGUGUCAGUAGGCUUAUUUUAUAGCUAUAAUCUAUAACUAAUUUACUUUACCUUGUGUCUUAAACAUUACCUUCUACGUUUAAAUUGAAUGAUUCCAUCUUGAUUCAAACUAACAACAACAUUUGGAUUCUUAUUUAAAGUUUUCAGGAAUCGCGGCACACUUUCGUAGCAAAAGUGGUCAAGAGCGAGAGAAGGCCAAAGAGAAUAUAUGGGAGCAACUCAUAGUCAUCGAGGAUCAAUGUUUGGGUGAUCAAAAGAAAUUCUAUGGGGGAGAUACCAUUAACAUUGUAGACAUAGCUCUCGCAUCUUUUGUCAAUUUCAUUGCGGUUCAUGAAGAUAUGUUUGAAGUGAAGAUCUUGCAAACUGAGAAGUUCCCCCGUCUGCAUUUAUGGUUUAAUAAUUUCAAAAAUGUUCCAGUCAUCAAAGAAAACACCCCUGGUCAAGAGAAGUUGGUGGCUUUUUUAAAGGGUCUUAGAGAAAAAAUGUUCGCAUUGGCAUCUUCUUGAGAAAAUUAUGGCUUUUAUGAAUUGACAAACAAAGCAUUUCUUCAUGUUACUUCUAGUUGCUUUCUUUUGUCUUUGUACGUCAAUAAUCAAAAGAUUGAAAUGAUUUCAUUUCUUUUGAAAUCUUGGUAAGAGAAACUAUUGUAUUUGAUUACCUGUACCAGUUUGAAAAUCCUUCUUCCUUAUGUUCUAAUUUACGGUUGAAUAAAUUUGUAUCAAAUUUAGUAUAUUGCAAUUUUGUUUCUAUGUGUAAGUAUAUUCCUACUGUAAAUAUCUAUUAAGAAGACGUUUGUUUGGGUGAGAUUUGCAAGAAUAAAUUUGGUUUACCUGAUGAGAGCAUUCUCUUGGCCAUGACCUUGGUAGUGGAAUACCGAUUAAGGUUGAUGAAAGACCGUUGAAUAUGGAGAGGGCCAGAGGGGGAGAUUCACCCGCGUUUGUGUCGAAAUCGACUUAGUCUACCUAUGGUAAGUAAGAUAUAUGUUCGAGGUGUUUGAUACAAAAUUGAAUAUGAAAGUCUUCAUAUCCUUUGUGGCUGAUGUGGUUGCUACAUCCAUAUUAUUCCGAACAUGAAAAUUCCUCUCAUUUAAUUAUGAUUUCAAGGGGAAAAAAUUACUCGGUUUCGAAUAAUCAAGAGGUGAUUGAGACAGAAAUAAAUGACAACAUUCAAGUGAUUGAGACUGAAUGCAUAGGUAAACACAACAUAAUACAAUAGCUAUCUAACAUACUUUAUUAUUCUUCAUGCAAAUGACCAUUGUUUAAUUUAUCAACAAAAUUAAAAUAACAUGAUCAGAUAGGUUAAAAAAAUGUAUUUAUAUAAUGCAUUUAGCCUACACAUAAGUUAAUUGACACAUAGAAAAGCAUGAACUUUGUUAGCAAUACGUAGCCAAUUUUGAUUUUGAAUUUGACUGGUUGAACAAGUAUGACUUCAUGGAUGAUGGAUCACCCACCAUCUAUAAAAAAAAAGCUGUAUUGGUUUAGGAAAACAUAAGCUAGAAUGGCAGAGAUUAAACUACAUGGAUUUUGGUAUAGUCCUUUUACUUUAAGGGUAGUAUGGACCCUAAAUUUGAAGGGUAUACCAUAUGAGAANNNNNNNNNNNNNUAUCUGUGAGUCUAUGAUCAUUGUUGAAUACAUUGAUCAGAUAUGGCCACAGAAUUCAUUGCUUCCUGCUGAUCCCUAUGACAGAGCUCAAGCUCGAUUUUGGGUCAAAUAUAUCGAUGAUAUGGUAAAAAUAUUCUAAACUUAUUCAUCAAAUUUAUAUAUUUUUUACUUAUGUAGCUUAUUUUAUAAUGUAUAACUAAUUUACUUUACCUGUCUUAAACAUUAUGUUCUAUAUGUAACGAUCCUGUCUUGAUUGAAACUAACAAUAUAUGGAUUGAUAUUUAAAGUUUUUAGCAAUUACGGCACACUUUCGUACCAGUGGUGGUGAAGAGCGAGUGAAGGCCAGAGAGAAUAUAUGGGAGCAACUCAAAGUUGUUGAGGAUCAGUGUUUGGAUGAUCAGAAGAAAUUCUAUGGGGGAGACACCAUUAACAUUGUAGACAUAGCUCUUGGAUCUUUUGUCAAUUUUAUUAAGGUUCAAGAUAGGUUUGAAGUGAAGAUCUUGCAAACGGAGAGAUUCCCCCGCUUGCAUUUAUGGUUUAAUAAAUUCAAGGAUGUUCCGGUGAUCAAAGAAAACACACCUAACCAAGAGAAAUUGGUGGCAUUUCUUAUUCCUCUUAUUGAAAAAAUCAAGGCAUCUUCUUGAGAAAAUUAUGGCUUCUAUAUGAACUGAUAUAUACAAAGCAUUUGUAUCUUCAUGUGUAUUUCUUUAUGUUAAUUAUAGUUGCUUUAUGUUGUCUUUGUAUGUCAAUAAUCAAAAGAUUAAAAUGAUUUCAUUUCUUUCAAUAUUAAGAGUAUGUACCACACAUCUUAUAAAGUUAAAGUUUAGCUGAUUCUCCACCAAAACAGAGGUAUUUGGUACCCAAGAUUACUUCAUAAGUUUAAAAUUUUAAUGUGUACAAUUCAGAUACAUCUUUUUUGAGAUACUGACUGUCGUGUUUGGAGUUCAGCAUGUGUCUCAUCCAUUGGUGGAAAACUUCGUGACUUUUAUUGAUGAUCACCUAGGAAGAUAUGAGUAAAAUUUCUUAAACAUAAGUAUGAAGUAUUUGAGAAUUUUAAGAUGUGGAAAGGCAUAAUAGGUUUAUGAGACAGUGUUGAAGAUCAAAAAGCUUAGAACCGACAAUGGUGGUUAAUACAAGACAUUAGAUUCAAUAAGUUUUGCUAUGAGCACAUGAUCAUAAUGGAGAGACCCGGGCCAAGUACACUUUGUUAAAAAUAGUGUAUAGACUGAAACUUAAACUCGACUUCUAGUUAGUUAUUGGUUACAAUUGUCUUUGAUAGUUAGCAUCUCUAACUCUCUAAUUAGUUAGAGUAGCCUGCAAGUCUUAGAGGCACUUAGAGUUAGUUACAAGUUUCAUAUGCUAUAUUUACAAAAGCAAUAUCAUGGUAUCAUUUAGAAAAUAAGUUCAAUACAUAUUAUGAAAAUUUUCUCACUGUUUCCUUUAUUACACUAUGCAAUUCUAACAUGAUAUCUUAGAGCUUCUAUUUCCUGCGCAAUACCUCAUUGAUGCAGAUCAUAUAAUAACUGAUAAUGUCAAUCCCAUUGUUUCUUGCAUGGGAGCAACAUGAUGCUUUUGUAUGCACGUGUCUUCAUUCCACGAUCUCAAACAAUCCUUUUGCCAGAGUUGUUGAUUGCACGUAUUCCUAGCAAGAUGCUCACAAAUUUCCAUACGUUACUCAAUACCAAGGCAAGACAACUAUGAUUUGAGUUGUGAAAUCUUAGUAAAGGUGGUCGCACCAUUGGAGAGUUCAUUAUGUGCAAUCAUGCAAUCAAUGAUUCAUUGAUCUUUAUUGCUAGCCCCAUUCUGCAUCAUAAUCUCAUCGAAAUUGUUCUUGAAGCACUUCCUGAGGAUUACAAUUCUGUUGUUGUUACGAGUAAGGAUGGCCCCUGUUCAUUGUUACAACCUUUGAACCAAACUUUUCUCUCUAAAGCAACAAGUCAUGCGCCGUGGAGGUGGUUUUUUUGGUUGUGGGGUGGUUCUUUUGGACAUUGCAGUCCUUUUGGCAGUGUUUAAUGCCAUAUCUACCAUAAAUCUGGUCACGGUGCAACAAUUUAUUAAUAUAUUAUCACUCUGGAUAUGGUAACUAAGGCUUCAUGACAUGAGGAACACCUCAAAAUCAAAUGUUGAUGCCUUAGAGGCCUUAGCUCCCUACUCAUUUUGGCUAUACAAACCAUAUGCACACUCCCCCACGACAACAUCAUCCUCAAGCUCUUCUCACCGGCACUUAUUCUCAAUUCAACAACCAAUGAUUGUACACCUAAUUCAUGUCUCACCGUGCAACAACAUAUGCAUCUAAAUCUUACUUAUUCAGUUUCCUUGCCAGAAUCUGAUCAUGUGCUCGGGAAAUGGUCAAGUUGUCAAUAAACUUUUAAGGGUCCAUGUCUUUUCCAUCCUCCACUAAACCUAAUAAACUUUUGCGUUGUCAAUAAAAAAAAUUCUACGUGUAAAAAUAUUCCUACUAUAAAUACUUAUACCAUUAGAUGAGAGCAAUGAUUGCGGAGAGGAUUGUUUGAGUGAGAUUUUCAUAAAUGAAUUUGGUUUACUACGACGAGAGCAUUAUCUUGGUCAUGACCUCGGCAAUGGAACGGCCAAUUAAGGUUGAUAAAGGAACGUUGAAUGUGGACUGGAGGAGAUUCAUCCGCAUUUGUGUCAAAAUCGACUUGAGCCUGCCAGUUGUAGGUAAGAUAUGUGUUUAAGGUGUUCUACACAAAAUCGAAUAUGAAGGUCUCUCUGUAUCCUUUGUUGUCAGUGUGGUUGCUAAGACCAUAUUACCAGAAAUUGUUGAGAAAGAAGGGAAUAUUCCUCAUUUCAAACAUGGAAAUUCCUCUCAUUGAUUCUGAUUCCAAGUGGAGGCGAAAAUCACCCGGAUUCAAAUAAUCAGGGACUGGUUGAGACAAAUAAAUGACAAUAUUCAAGCGAAAGAGCCAUAUAGGGAAUAUUUCACUGAUAUCGGCAUUGUUAAUUCUUGGAGUGAUGCAGUGACAGAGAAAGACUAUACUCAAGAAUACCUAUAGUGGUAGAAGCCUUGUGUAAUUUGAGGAGCUUUUUAUUUCCUCUCUUUUUUGUCUUUAUCUUUUACUCAAUUAUGUUUAUAUAUCCCAAUUUUUUAUUUCUUUUUCAUUUCUUGAAUAAUUUUUUAUCUUAUAAAAAAAAUGAUUCAAAGAGUUUGUAAAAUAUUUACUUAAAAAUAAAAAGUUUAUGAAAUAGCAUCAACAAUAUAUAAAAAUUUCAAUUUAUAUACAUUGUUAAAAAAAUUACUUAUGCAUUCAACAAUGUAUUGUCAUAUUUGGCAAAAACAAAAACAAUUUCUUUUUUACAUAUAAAGAGGUGCAACACAAGGAACAAAAACAAAAGCAAUUUCUUAAAUAAAAGGAAAAUUUAUAGAUUAUAUGUUAAAAAAUACACUAUAUAAAAUUAAAUCCUUUUGAAAUAAAGUAGAAAUAAAAGAAAAUAAAAAAUAUUAAUUCUUUUGAGAGGGGGUAUUGUAAAGAAUGUGCACACUCGUUUUAUCUGUUAGUGAUGCAAGCCCUUACGACACUUUUUUUUUUCCUUCUGUUCUUUGGAGGGGAUACCAGUACGAAAAAACAAAUCCUUUCUUUCUUUACCCAAAGAUAAAAGAAAAAUAAUAGUGCCGGCUGGACAGGAAAAAAUAGAGUAAAUUCGAGUAAGUGAUAUUCAUUUAAAGAGUUGACAUCUCUCGACAAUAAAUAUUUUCUCUAGGUCACCGGUUAGGGAUCGAAUCCAGACUAGAUGGUUAAAAGUUCAAGUAUCUACCAUUUGUGUCACACUAUGUGGGAACAUUUUACUUCUUUUGAUAUGUAUUGACUUAAAUGUACUUGAAAAAUGACAAAUACGUAGUCAAUUUUGAAUUUGACUAGUUAAUGCCAAAUGACUUCAUGGAUGAUGGGAUCACCCACCGUCUAUAAAAGAGCUGCUGCUGGUGUUGGUUUAGAAUAACGCAAGCUAGAAUGGCAGAGAUUAAACUACAUGGAUUUUGGUAUAGUCCUUUUACUUUAAGGGUAGUAUGGACCCUAAAUCUGAAGGGUAUACCAUAUGAGAACAUAGAGGAAGAUCGUUUCAAUAAGAGUCCUCAACUUCUUCAAUAUAACCCAGUACACAAGAAAACUCCAGUGCUAGUUCAUGAUGGAAAACCCAUAUGUGAGUCCAUGAUCAUUGUUGAAUACAUUGAUGAGAUAUGGCCACACAACUCAUUGCUUCCUGCUGAUCCCUAUGACAGAGCUCAAUCCCGAUUUUGGGUUAAAUAUGUUGAUGAUAUGGUAAAUUUUUUCUAAACUUAAUCACCAUAU
rnacentral:lncRNA from 1 species